rnacentral:piRNA from 1 species
UGUCAAAAGAUAAUUCAGGGGCUGC